rnacentral:rRNA from 1 species
UACGGAGGGUGCAAGCGUUGUUCGGAAUCACUGGGCGUAAAGCGCGUGUAGGCGGCCUCCUCAGUCUGGUGUGAAAGCCCGGGGCUCAACCCCGGAAGUGCAUUGGAUACUGGGAGGCUGGAGUACCGGAGAGGAGGGUGGAAUUCCUGGUGUAACGGUGAAAUGCGUAGAUAUCAGGAGGAACACCGGUGGCGAAGGCGGGUCUCUGGGCAGUAACUGACGCUGAGGAGCGAAAGCGUGGGGAGCGAACAGG